rnacentral:tRNA from 1 species
GGGGAUUUAGCUCAGUGGUAGAGCGCUUGCCUGGCAUGCGCAAGGCCCUGGGUUCGGUCCCCAGCUCCG